GACGAACGCUGGCGGCGUGGAUUAGGCAUGCAAGUCGAACGGUAUCAUCCUUUCGGGGGUGAGAGAGUGGCGAACUGGUGAGUAACACGUAGGUUAUCUACCCUCAAGACGGGGACAACCCAGGGAAACUUGGGCUAAUACCGGAUGUGAGCAACUUUUUAGUUGUUUGAAAGGUGGCGUAAGCUGUCGCUUGGGGAUGAGCCUGCGUCCUAUUAGUUAGUUGGUGAGGUAACGGCUCACCUAGGCAAUGAUAGGUAGGCGGCCUUAACGGGUGGUCGCCCACACUGGGAUUGAGAUACGGCCCAGACUCCUACGGGAGGCAGCAGUCGAGAAUAGUCUACAAUGGUCGGAAGACUGAUAGUGCGACGCCGCGUGAACGAUGAAUCCCUUCGGGGUGUAAAGUUCUUUUAUAUGUGAGCAGUGCUUCUUAUAUUAACAGUAUGGGGAAGAGAUAUUAGCAUAUGAAUAAGCAACGGCUAACUCCGUGCCAGCAGCCGCGGUAAUCACG
rnacentral:rRNA from 1 species